GUAGGGGGCGAGCGUUAUCCGGAAUUACUGGGUGUAAAGGGUGAGUAGGCGGCUGUGCAAGUCAUAUGUGAAAUACAGGGGCUUAACCCCUGUGCCGCAUAAGAAACUGUAUAGCUUAGAGUGCAGGAGAGGCAAGCGGAAUUCCUGGUGUAGCGGUGAAAUGCGUAGAUAUCAGGAAGAACACCGGUGGCGAAGGCGGCUUGCUGGACUGUAACUGACGCUGAGUCACGAAAGCGUGGGGAGCGAA
rnacentral:rRNA from 1 species